rnacentral:rRNA from 1 species
CACGUAGGGCGCAAGCGUUGUCCGGAAUUAUUGGGCGUAAAGAGCGUGUAGGCGGCCUGACAGGUCAGCUGUGAAAACUCGAGGCUCAACCUCGAGACGUCGGUUGAAACCAUCUGGCUAGAGUCCGGAAGAGGAGUGUGGAAUUCCCGGUGUAGCGGUGAAAUGCGCAGAUAUCGGGAAGAACACCCGUGGCGAAGGCGGCACUCUGGGACGGUACUGACGCUGAGACGCGAAAGCGUGGGGAGCGAACAGG